rnacentral:lncRNA from 1 species
AAAGAAUGGUGCCAAGGGAAAUGGACAAUUCUUUGUGGAGGAGUUUGAAAUGAGAGACAGCUGCUCAAGAUGCGGGGCAGAUAACCAUGGCUAGUAUAGAUGGUAAGUGCUGAGGGUUAUCAGUAUCAAAUUGCAAAAUCAAUAUCCUCUUACACCAGCUUCUUGGGAAUGACACCAAGUGGUGCUUGAUUUCUUAGCAUCGUUUAAAUAUCACUGAGCUGAAAUGCCAUGGGAGGCACAUGAUAGAUACAGACUAUAGUGCACAGAGGCAGAGCUUGUGUUUGGUUACCAUGGUGACAGCAAUAGAGCUAUCUGUCUGCAGGCAAAGAGAGUGGUAAAGACAAAAAGAAGUGGGAGACCUGAAGCAAAAAAAGGUUGGAUAAGGCUACUCAAGGCCAUCUGACAUAUAGAAAAUAAAAACCUCAUCAUUGAAGAUGGGAGGAAACAUGAAAAGGAGCUCUGGAGGACAAGGGAGACAACAGAGGAUAUUGUCUGUAGACGCCAUGAUACCAGCUGCCAGGGAAGACACAAUUCAACACAGGCUUCUUGAGUGUGCUGAGGAUAUUCUGGGGAAAACCCAAACCAAAGGAGUAGCUUACAGGGCGUGGGUAGAGCUUGAGAAAAAGCCUGCUGAAGUCAAUCUCCCAAAUGUGUAUGUGUUCUCAGUGUGGAUAACCCGAGAGAGAGAGAGAGGGAAAAAGGUUGAAAAUGGGAACCAGAUCUGUCUAGGAGAUGACAAGUCUGUAUUUCUGAUGUUUUCUGGAAUUUGAAAGAAAUGACAAGACAGAUCUAGGCAUAAAAACAAACAAACAACAACAACAAAAAACGCUACCAAACCAAAUAAAACAUGUCAAAAAAAUAAAUAAAAUCUAUUA